UACGAAGGGGGCUAGCGUUGCUCGGAAUCACUGGGCGUAAAGCGCACGUAGGCGGACUCUUAAGUCAGAGGUGAAAUCCUGGAGCUCAACUCCAGAACUGCCUUUGAUACUUGAGAGCCUUGAGUUCGGGAGAGGUGAGUGGAACUGCGAGUGUAGAGGUGAAAUUCGUAGAUAUUCGCAAGAACACCAGUGGCGAAGGCGGCUCACUGGCCCGAUACUGACGCUGAGGUGCGAAAAGCGUGGGGAGCAACAGGG
rnacentral:rRNA from 1 species